AAACUCACUUGUGAGAUUACAGUAGAUAUAUUAUUAUUAUUUUUAUAUUUUAAUCUCCCAAAACAUGUGAAUCAAAGAGUAGUAAAAAGAAGAAGUAUCAUAACAUUUUCAGAAAUAUCAUAACAUUUUCAGAAAUAUCAUAACAUAGUACAACUAGAAUAUCUAGAAUUACUUGGACUGAUUUGUGAGUUGAAAUUAUGGAAUAUGAUCAACACAGUACCAUAUGCCGAGAGGAGUGUGAUGAAGAUAAAAGAAAGUUGAAGGAAAAAACGUAAAGAUUCAUGAUCUGGAAAAAUUACUAGAAAAAACAAAUGAAGAAUAUAUCAAGUUUAAUAAUAAUCAAAAUGCCGACGAGGAAGAAAUCCAUUAUAAAGUUACUCGUCUAAAUAAGCUGAAGGUGUCAGUAGUGGAAGACAUCACCACAAUUAUCUUGAUACAGGAGAAGUUCCCAACGAUGUACCUAUUUGUAACCCUUGACACAUCUUUUAAGAAAUGCAAUAUUGACUUACUUGAUAAACUAGCUAUAUAGCUAUUAAACAUGGAACCUGGUAAUUUAAGGUCACUACAGCUUAUCAGUUACAAGAUGGAGACUUUUUCAUGGUUGAUGAAACCACUGCUAAGAAGGUAGGAUUCACGGUUAAGGUAAUGAGAACCAAAGACUUAACUUCCAUACUUUGGAUUAUGAAAAUGAAGCUGGAUAUCCAAAUCGGUCAAAUAUUUGGGUGGCUUAGAGAAAAUUGUCAAAUCUAUGGAGAUGAAGGAACUGAGAAAGAAAACAACAUAUGUAGCAAAACAUGAGGUUAUUGUGCGAAAAAGAGAUGGGGUUGUUGUGUGAAACAGAGAAGACAAAAUGAUGGAUGAGGAUUGCUUUUUGAAUUUAUGUUUAAAUACUUUGUCUGGUUUUUUUUCCUUAGAUAGUGUAUUAAAUUGUGUAGAUACCCAUCUGAAUAACCCCUCCUGUCCCCAAAAUGCU